AUAGUAAAUGAUGACAUGGUGGCCACAGGUGGAACUCUGUCAGCAGGAGUAAAACUUCUAAGUGAUUUGCAAGCUCUUUUUGGGGUGGGGAAGGGCCUCACUUUUUGUCUAUAUUCUUUUCUUCUUUAUUUCACUUGUGAUGGUUCAAUGGAUGUGGUCCCUUCUUUCAAGUUAUUUUGUAGAACGUGUUGGUGCUCAAGUAGUGGAAUGUGCUUGUGUCAUUGGUGUGCCUGAUGUCAAGGGGCAGUGCAGGCUCAUUGGAAAGCCACUUUAUGUUCUUG